CCUACGGGGGGCAGCAGUGGGGAAUAUUGCACAAUGGGGGAAACCCUGAUGCAGCGACGCCGCGUGAAGGAAGAAGUAUUUCGGUAUGUAAACUUCUAUCAGCAGGGAAGAAAAUGACGGUACCUGACUAAGAAGCCCCGGCUAACUACGUGCCAGCAGCCGCGGUAAUACGUAGGGGGCAAGCGUUAUCCGGAUUUACUGGGUGUAAAGGGAGCGUAGGCGGUUUAGCAAGUCAGAAGUGAAAGACCGGGGCUCAACUCCGGGACUGCUUUUGAAACUGUUGAACUGGAGUGCAGGAGAGGUAAGUGGAAUUCCUAGUGUAGCGGUGAAAUGCGUAGAUAUUAGGAGGAACACCAGUGGCGAAGGCGGCUUACUGGACUGUAAAUGACGCUGAGGCUCGAAAGCGUGGGGAGCAAACAGGAUUAGAUACCCUUGUAGUC
rnacentral:rRNA from 1 species